UACGUAGGGUGCAAGCGUUAAUCGGAAUUACUGGGCGUAAAGCGUGCGCAGGCGGUUCGUUAAGACAGAUGUGAAAUCCCCGGGCUUAACCUGGGAACUGCAUUUGUGACUGGCGGGCUAGAGUAUGGCAGAGGGGGGUAGAAUUCCACGUGUAGCAGUGAAAUGCGUAGAGAUGUGGAGGAAUACCGAUGGCGAAGGCAGCCCCCUGGGCCAAUACUGACGCUGAGGCGCGAGAGCGUGGGGAGCAAACAGG
rnacentral:rRNA from 1 species